GGCCUCAGGGCCCACAGUUAACCAAUAACAUCAUGUACUAUCAGAGAAAAGAUAAAAAGAUGAACAGAUUAAAAGCAUUCUCACUGAUUAGAUUUCUUUUCCAGCUCCUUGGUAUGCUAAGACACUCUUACAUCUGCCUUGAGUUGAUCCAUUUAAUUACCGCAAUAAAAGUAAAGCAAGAACCCCUUCUCUGGCCUCGCCGUGACAGAGUCCUGGUCUCUCUGUCAGUCAUGUUUGUUGCGAGGGGAGUGAUGAUGCUAAUUAUGAGUGUGAUGCAUCCACAGGAUAUUGCAGCCAUGGUGCUUAGUUGGCAGUGUGGACAGGUGGCAUCUCAUGCAUAUUCAUGGACCAGCCCUCGUUCGCUGACAGCACCGAUGGUUGCUGGCUUACAGAAAGAAAGUGCAGAAAGCAUUGACAUGCAGCGUGCAUCAACAAUUUGACCCCAACCCACUGAGGUCACAAAACAAGUCGAUGCUUUCCUGCUCUGGCUUUUUCCUGAUGCCUGAAAUGUUUAGUUUGACUCAACUGCUUUUGAGAGAAACCGCAGAACUCUGGAUAUAACAAACAUAUGCUAAAAGUGCCUGGAUGUUUUUAAUAUACGAAUGAUGAGUCUUACCUUUAAGGCUUUGCUUUGUUUCCUUCCUUAAGGAGAGGGGUGAAAAUGGAGAGCAUUUGUCAUGUAGCAUGUGUUUUAAAACUCAUUUUAAUUUAUUUUGAGGCUAAAUUAAAUGUUCGUUUUAUUUCCAUUUUUAUUGUUAUUAUUUUUGUAUUUUGUCUGUUUGUUUGUUUUUGUUGUACAGUACUUUGUUUAAUUCAAUGUAAAUGUAAAUCCAAACUAAAAAAAAAUAAAAAAUAUGGGCUGGUAAAAACAGGGCAAGGAUCGAAAAUUAACUUUUUGCCAGACCUGCCAAUGUUGAGUAAAUGAAUAAAAAUAUACAAAUAUUCACUGACAAAGAAACUGGAUUUUGCAUUAUUAGAUUUUAUUAUUAUAUUUUUCUUUAUGACAACAGAAUUAUUGUAAUAUUGCAUAUUAGUGAC
ensembl:lncRNA